UCAAAGAGGGGGACAACAGUUGGAAACGACUGCUAAUACCGCAUAAGCCCACGGGUCGGCAUCGAGCAGAGGGAAAAGGAGCAAUCCGCUUUGAGAUGGCCUCGCGUCCGAUUAGCUAGUUGGUGAGGUAAUGGCCCACCAAGGCGACGAUCGGUAGCCGGACUGAGAGGUUGAACGGCCACAUUGGGACUGAGACACGGCCCAGACUCCUACGGGAGGCAGCAGUGGGGAAUAUUGCACAAUGGGGGAAACCCUGAUGCAGCGACGCCGCGUGGAGGAAGAAGGUCUUCGGAUUGUAAACUCCUGUUGUUGAGGAAGAUAAUGACGGUACUCAACAAGGAAGUGACGGCUAACUACGUGCCAGCAGCCGCGGUAAAACGUAGGUCACAAGCGUUGUCCGGAAUUACUGGGUGUAAAGGGAGCGCAGGCGGGAAGACAAGUUGGAAGUGAAAUCUAUGGGCUCAACCCAUAAACUGCUUUCAAAACUGUUUUUCUUGAGUAGUGCAGAGGUAGGCGGAAUUCCCGGUGUAGCGGUGGAAUGCGUAGAUAUCGGGAGGAACACCAGUGGCGAAGGCGGCCUACUGGGCACCAACUGACGCUGAGGCUCGAAAGUGUGGGUAGCAAACAGGAUUAGAUACCCUGGUAGUCCACACCGUAAACGAUGAUUACUAGGUGUUGGAGGAUUGACCCCUUCAGUGCCGCAGUUAACACAAUAAGUAAUCCACCUGGGGAGUACGACCGCAAGGUUGAAACUCAAAGGAAUUGACGGGGGCCCGCACAAGCAGUGGAGUAUGUGGUUUAAUUCGAAGCAACGCGAAGAACCUUACCAGGUCUUGACAUCCUACUAACGAGAUAGAGAUAUGUUAGGUGCCCUUCGGGGAAAGUAGAGACAGGUGGUGCAUGGUUGUCGUCAGCUCGUGUCGUGAGAUGUUGGGUUAAGUCC
rnacentral:rRNA from 1 species